rnacentral:rRNA from 1 species
GACAGAGGAUGCAAGCGUUAUCCGGAAUGAUUGGGCGUAAAGCGUCUGUAGGUGGCUUUUUAAGUCUGCCGUCAAAUCCCAGGGCUUAACCCUGGACAGGCGGUGGAAACUACCAAGCUGGAGUACGGUAGGGGCAGGGGGAAUUUCCGGUGGAGCGGUGAAAUGCGUAGAGAUCGGAAAGAACACCAACGGCGAAAGCAAUCUGCUGGGCCGACACUGACACUGAGAGACGAAAGCGAGGGUAGCAAAUGGG